GUCUCCUCGACAAUUUAUUUUGUUUAAAUUGGGCGCCAAUAUGUUACGAACUGCUUUUUUCGGUGGCAGUGCCGCUAGCUCAGUCUUUUCUCAGGGCAGAGUACCCCUAAUGCCACAGCUCGCAACAUAAAUAUCGAUAAAUUCACGGUCUCACAUUACUAAACUAUCGGUCAUCACUAAUGACAAAAACGUAAGCAAACCAAAAAAAACUACAAAUAAUGACGGAAAAAUGGAUUACCUUUGGUGGCUAUCGGUGACCUAGCCAAGCGCUCCCACCCAACCAUGGAUGCCCUCGAGGUGCUGCAGGGCACAACCCAUUCUCAGUCGGCAGGAGCCCCCUCCUCGCGACUACGGCGGUUCCAUCUCCCCCACUGGGAAAGUUUACUCACACAUUGUGGGGAUUACAAAGGUUUAAUAAAUAUCCUUUUAAGACCAAAACCUGGCCGCCGUCUUCAAUACUUACGCGGUCAAAGCAGAGGAUUGGUUUUGCUGGAAAAGGGUAGAUGCGCCGCGGAAACUAUGCUCUACCAGUCAUGUAUUGGUAGAGCUCGCAUGGAAACGCGGCCCUCAAAGGAACAUACGCGAUGCGUAUGUGUAUGGUCACCUAAUCCUGAAGAGCUCCAGGGGAAAAGAAGGGACAGGCCAAAAGGCAAAUAACGAGGACAAACAAGGCUCUCGGGUCUAACUCCGGAUAAAUUCACAAACAG